rfam:Caulobacter segnis ATCC 21756, complete genome.
GCAAGGACGAAACGAGCCCAACAGAGAGCUCCCGUUCUUCGGCGUUUCGGGGAGGAAACGCCCGCCUAGAUCGAAUGAUCGAGAAAAUAGCCAGCCCGUCGCGAUUAUCCCCCGCGACGGGUUUGGUGUAUCUGGG